UACGUAGGGUGCGAGCGUUGUCCGGAAUUAUUGGGCGUAGAGAGCUCGUAGGCGGUUUGUCGCGUCUGCUGUGAAAACUCGAGGCUCAACCUCGGGCUUGCAGUGGGUACGGGCAGACUAGAGUGCGGUAGGGGUGACUGGAAUUCCUGGUGUAGCGGUGAAAUGCGCAGAUAUCAGGAGGAACACCGAUGGCGAAGGCAGGUCUCUGGGCCACUACUGACGCUGAGAAGCGGAAAGCAUGGGGAGCGAAACAGG
rnacentral:rRNA from 1 species